AACGAACGCUGGCGGCAGGCCUAACACAUGCAAGUCGAACGGGAUCUUCGGAUCUAGUGGCGGACGGGUGAGUAACGCGUGGGAACGUGCCCUUUGGUUCGGAAUAGCCCUGGGGAAACUGGGAGUAAUACCGGAUGUGCCCUUCGGGGGGAAAGAUUUAUCGCCAAAGGAUCGGCCCGCGUUGGAUUAGGUAGUUGGUGGGGUAAUGGCCUACCAAGCCGACGAUCCAUAGCUGGUUUGAGAGGAUGAUCAGCCACACUGGGACUGAGACACGGCCCAGACUCCUACGGGAGGCAG
rnacentral:rRNA from 1 species